AUCUACGGCCAUACCACCCUGAAGGUGCCCGAUCUCAUCUGAUCUCAGAAGCUAAGUAGGGUCAGGCCUGAUUAGUACUUGGAUUGGAGGAACCUCAAAUGACUUUUUCAAAGUCACAGAACUGGCAAGAAUGGAGC
ensembl:rRNA 5S_rRNA 5S ribosomal RNA